AUAAUUGAUUUGAUUUGAUUAUUGGGAAGAUUACCGAUGAUGAUUAUUGCGAAAAUAUG
rnacentral:sRNA from 1 species